rnacentral:lncRNA from 1 species
AUUUGAUCAAAUCAUCCACAAAAUUAAAGUCGACUUUCGUAUUUAAAGUUCAUAUUUUAUAAUAUAGCUUAUGAGCCAAUAAUUUACAGACCACAAAACAAUUCAAAUUUCAAUAAUAAUAGUACAAUAGACACAUCCCACCCAAUAUCCCCUAUCAAAGCUUGGAUUUCCGACCGAUAACCUACAACAUAUGUAUUUUUGCAAACAUAUACAAAAAUAAAAGAGUGAGAAUUAGUAAGAAAAUCAUAAAAGGUAAAACAAAUGUAAGAAGAUCGACACAAGUAUGAAUGUAUAGUUUCAGUUUUGAUUGAUAUGGAUAUUUAUCAUGCAAAAACAUGUGGAAAAUUUACUACACUUAACAGUUACAGACCCUCCUCCGAUUUCACUUUUUAGAUACAUUCAAUUAAUGAUGUAUAUAACAUAUAAUAAAGAUUAUAUACAUCAUUAAUUGAAUAUAUCUAAAAAGUAGAUUUUUGUUUAUAUUAGUGACCGGAGGAUGUUGACGUUAAAAUAUGGAAAAUAAAAACAUAUGGAAACAUUUAGAGGCAUGAUAACACAAAGGAACAUAUUGGUAUUUGUGAUUAUAUUAACAAGAAAACAUGAGAUAACAUUUAAGAGACAUAUUAAAACAUAACAACAUCUUAGAAAUUAAUACACAUUGACAAUUAGAGAUAUAUUCACAUAGUAAUUUACACAAGAAAUUUAUUGCAAAGGUACCACUUUGAUACUCGUGCCAUAUUAUUAUGCCAUUAAAAAAAUAUUUAACAAGUUUCUAAAGCUAUAUAAUAAACUGUAAAACUUGAACUACUCUUUGAAAGUGUGAGUGAAAUUAUAAGAAUAACAAGAUUAAGAUGAACAAAUAAAAUGAAGGCCUAGACAUAAUAGAACAAUAUAUUUUACCUUAACUAUGUAAUCCUUUUACAUUCACCAUCGAUGCAUUUCAUAGGUAUAAGAGGAGGGCCCAAAAAUAUUUUAUAACAAUCGAUGUCAUUAGCACAUUCUUCUGUAAUGUAAAAUAAGAAUAAAUAAAUAAAUAUGAGUACUUAAAAAGGGUGAAAGAUGUAUAUAACACAAAUGAAGAAGAAAAAAAAAAUGAGCUUACUUUCACAGUAAACAACAAGAAAUAGGGAAAUAAAAAGGAUCAUAAUAUAAACAAAUUUGAGAAUUUUA